UGCCGCGUGCAGGAAGACGGUCCUAUGGAUUGUAAACUGCUUUUAUUUGGGAAUAAACUCCUCUACGUGUAGAGGCCUGAAGGUACCAAAUGAAUAAGCACCGGCUAACUCCGUGCCAGCAGCCGCGGUAAUACGGAGGGUGCAAGCGUUAUCCGGAAUCAUUGGGUUUAAAGGGUCCGCAGGCGGACGUAUAAGUCAGUGGUGAAAUCUCUCGGCUUAACCGAGAAACUGCCAUUGAUACUGUACGUCUUGAAUUCGGUCGAAGUGGGCGGAAUAUGUCAUGUAGCGGUGAAAUGCUUAGAUAUGACAUAGAACACCGAUAGCGAAGGCAGCUCACUAGGCCUGGAUUGACGCUCAGGGACGAAAGCGUGGGUAGCGAACAGGAUUAGAUACCCUGGUAGUCCCGCCGUAAACUAUCAAUACUCGUUUUCAGCCGAUAUACAGUUGGAGACUAAGCGAAAGUGAUAA
rnacentral:rRNA from 1 species